rnacentral:rRNA from 1 species
ACUAAGCCAUGCGAGUCGAAUGUAGCAAUACAUGGCGAACUGCUCAGUAACACGUGGACAACCUGCCCUUAGGACGGGGAUAAACCCGGGAAACUGGGUAUAAUACCCGAUAGGUCUCGAUUGCUGGAAUGCAUCGAGAUUUAAAGCUCCGGCGCCUAAGGAUGGGUCUGCGGCCUAUCAGGUAGUAGUGGGUGUAGCGUACCUACUAGCCUACGACGGGUACGGGUUGUGAGAGCAAGAGCCCGGAGAUGGAUUCUGAGACACGAAUCCAGGCCCUACGGGGUGCAGCAGGCGCGAAAACUUUACAAUGCUGGCAACAGCGAUAAGGGAACCUCGAGUGCCAGGUUACAAAUCUGGCUGUCGAGAUGCCUAAAAAGCAUUUCAUAGCAAGGGCCGGGCAAGACCGGUGCCAGCCGCCGCGGUAACACCGGCGGCUCGAGUGGUAACCGUUAUUAUUGGGUCUAAAGGGUCUGUAGCCGGCCGGAUAAGUCUCUUGAGAAAUCUGGCAGCUUAACUGUCAGGCUUUCAGGAGAUACUGUCUGGCUCGAGGCCGGGAGAGGUGAGAGGUACUUCAGGGGUAGGGGUGAAAUCUUGUAAUCCUUGAAGGACCACCAGUGGCGAAGGCGUCUCACCAGAACGGACCUGACGGCAAGGGACGAAAGCUAGGGGCACGAACCGGAUUAGAUACCCGGGUAGUCCUAGCCGUAAACGAUACUCGCUAGGUGUCGGCCACGGUGCGACCGUUGUCGGUGCCGUAGGGAAGCCGUGAAGCGAGCCACCUGGGAAGUACGGCCGCAAGGCUGAAACUUAAAGGAAUUGGCGGGGGAGCACCACAACGGGUGGAGCUUGCGGUUUAAUUGGAUUCAACGCCGGG